UACGUAGGGGGCAAGCGUUGUCCGGAAUCAUUGGGCGUAAAGAGCGUGUAGGCGGCCCGAUAAGUCCGCUGUGAAAGUCCAGGGCUCAACCCUGGGAUGCCGGUGGAUACUGUCGGGCUCGAGUCCGGAAGAGGAGUGUGGAAUUCCUGGUGUAGCGGUGAAAUGCGCAGAUAUCAGGAGGAACACCAAUGGCGAAGGCAGCACUCUGGGGACGUGACUGACGCUGAGACGCGAAAAGCGUGGGGGAGCAAACAGG
rnacentral:rRNA from 1 species